rnacentral:rRNA from 1 species
UACAGAGGGUGCGAGCGUUAAUCGGACUUACUGGGCGUAAAGCGUGCGUAGGUGGCGGUUUAAGUCUGCUGUGAAAGCCCUGGGCUCAACCUGGGAACGGCAGUGGAGACUGAACGGCUCGAGUGCCAGAGAGGAUCGUGGAACUCCCGGUGUAGCAGUGAAAUGCGUAGAGAUCGGGAAGAACACCCAUGGCGAAGGCAGCGAUCUGGCUGGACACUGACACUGAGGCACGAAGGCGUGGGGAGCAAACAGG